UUACGACCACAUCAUGUAGAAACACCGGUUUCCAUAUGAUCACCAAAGUUAAGCAACGUCGAACCCGGUCAAUGCCUAGAUGGAUGACCGCUUGGGAAUAGUAGGUGCUGUAAG